AUUUAUAUAAUAUAUUUAGUAUAUUUGACUUCCAAUCAAACAGUUUAAACAUUUUAUUUAAUAUAAAUA
rnacentral:tRNA from 1 species